GAUGAACGCUGGCGGCGUGCCUAAUACAUGCAAGUAGAACGCUGAAGCUUGGUGCUUGCACCGAGCGGAUGAGUUGCGAACGGGUGAGUAACGCGUAGGUAACCUGCCUCUUAGCGGGGGAUAACUAUUGGAAACGAUAGCUAAUACCGCAUAAAAGUCGAUAUCGCAUGAUAUUGAUUUGAAAGGUGCAAAUGCAUCACUAAGAGAUGGACCUGCGUUGUAUUAGCCAGUUGGUGAGGUAACGGCUCACCAAGGCGACGAUACAUAGCCGACCUGAGAGGGUGAUCGGCCACACUGGGACUGAGACACGGCCCAGACUCCUACGGGAGGCAGCAGUAGGGAAUCUUCGGCAAUGGGGGCAACCCUGACCGAGCAACGCCGCGUGAGUGAAGAAGGUUUUCGGAUCGUAAAGCUCUGUUGUAAGAGAAGAACGAGUGUGAGAGUGGAAAGUUCACACUGUGACGGUAACUUACCAGAAAGGGACGGCUAACUACGUG
rnacentral:rRNA from 1 species